GAAAAAAAAUACAGAGAAAAAGAAAAUAAUUAUAAUUAAGCCAUUCAACAAAGUCAAGGACCUUCGGUUCUUCAAAGACUAGAUGAUAUUCCGAGCCCUGUCCUUGGAGCUGUUUUGCAGGUGCUGAAGCCCCCACCAGGUGGAAGAAGUUAACUGCGUGCUGCCCACAAACGCGGAGACCCCAGACCAGCUGGAACCAGAAGGUUGAUGAGACUGACUCCCAGUGGCCUUCACCACCCACCAAUCCGGACAAUGUCCAUGAGCUGUCCACGAGCUGACCACGCCACCCCUGGAUGACAGCCUUGAGAGCGGGUGCUGGCCUGGAGCAGUGAGCCUGGCAAACGUGACCCCUGCCCUCGCAGGACUUAGAGCCGAGCCGGCUUGGCACACGGCUGGUUUUCAUAGCAAGAAAAGGAGUUGAACACACCUUUCGAGGGCAAUCCGGGGCUCUGUCGGGCACUUUGCAGAGUCUUCUCCUCCACCUCUCCCUUCGGAGAGCAGGAUUAUAAAAGGCAGAGCGCCUCUGUCAGAAUCUGCAGCCUGGCAGAUAAUUCUCCUGAGACCCACACCAAGGCACCAGCUCCGAGCGCGCACCGCCUCCCCCCCGCCCACCCCGAAGCUUUAGAAUAUAUUUCACAGCCUUCUCAGAAUUCUCCUAUCUAAAUACACUCAGCUCUGGGAAGGAGAAACAUCAUGCAGACAUGGUAACGAGAGAGCCCUGCCUUGAGAGCGGAUGAUUUGCGUCCAC